rnacentral:rRNA from 1 species
CAUGAAGCUGGAUUCGCUGUAAUCGCGCAUCAGCCACGGCGCGGUGAAUACGUUCCCGGGCCUUGUACACACCGCCCGUCAAGCCAUGGGAGUCGGGAGUGCCUGAAGUGCGUGAGCGCGAGCAGCGCCCUAGGGCAAAACCGAUGACUGGGGCUAAGUCGUAACAAGGUAUC